GGGGUGAUAGCUCAGUUGGGAGAGCGCUAGACUGAAGUUCACUUUAGUCAUCAGAUAUAUCUAGAGGUCGCCGGUUCAAUCCCGGCUCAUCCCA